rnacentral:rRNA from 1 species
GAGUUUGAUCGUGGCUCAGGAUUAACGCUGGCGGUAUGCCUAACACAUGCAAGUCGAACGAGCUCUUCGGAGCUAGUGGCGGACGGGUGAGUAACACGUUGGAACCUACCCCGAAGUGGGGAAUAACUGGCCGAAAGGUCGGCUAAUACCCCAUAGUCUUAUGUUUAUCAUAAGUAAAGAUUUAUCGCUUCGGGAGGGGCCUGCGCAACAUUAGCUAGUUGGUGAGGUAAAAGCUCACCAAGGCGACGAUGUUUAGCUGGAUCGAGAGGUUGACCAGCCACACUGGGACUGAGAUACGGCCCAGACUCCUACGGGAGGCAGCAGUGAGGAAUCUUCCACAAUGGGGGAAACCCUGAUGGAGCAAUACCGCGUGCAGGAAGACGCUUUUCGGAGUGUAAACUGCUUUUUAUAGUUGAAGAUUAUGACGGUAAACUAUGAAUAAGGAUCGGCUAACUACGUGCCAGCCACCGCAGU